rnacentral:rRNA from 1 species
GAUGAACGCUAGCUACAGGCUUAACACAUGCAAGUCGAGGGGUAGCAGGGUAGCAAUACCGCUGACGACCGGCGCACGGGUGAGUAACACGUAUCCAACCUUCCCAUAACUCGGGGAUAGCCUUUCGAAAGAAAGAUUAAUACCCGAUAGUACUUAUAUAGGGCAUCCUACAUAAGUUAAAGAUUUAUUGGUUAUGGAUGGGGAUGCGUUCCAUUAGAUAGUUGGUGAGGUAACGGCUCACCAAGUCUUCGAUGGAUAGGGGUUCUGAGAGGAAGGUCCCCCACAUUGGUACUGGGACACGGACCAAACUCCUACGGGAGGCAGCCGUGAGGAAUAUUGGUCAAUGGGCGAGAGCCUGAACCAGCCAAGUAGCGUGAAGGAUGAAGGUCCUAUGGAUUGUAAACUUCUUUUAUAGUAGAAUAAAGUGAUCCACGUGUGGAUUUUUGUAUGUAUACUAUGAAUAAGGAUCGGCUAACUCCGUGCCAGCCGCCGCCGUAA